rnacentral:rRNA from 1 species
AUACGGAGGAUGCAAGCGUUAUCCGGAUUUAUUGGGUUUAAAGGGUGCGUAGGCGGUUUGCUAAGCGGGAGGUGAAAUGCCGGCGCUCAACGUCGGAAGUGCCUCCCGAACUGGUGGACUGGAAUGACUCUGCCGUGGGAGGAAUGUGUAGUGUAGCGGAGAAAUGCUUAGAGAUUACACAGAACACCGAUUGCGAAGGCAUCUCACGAAGGGUUGAUUGACGCUGAGGCACGAAAGCGUGGGGAUCAAACAGGAUUAGAUACCCUGGUAGUCCACGCAGUAAACGAUGAUGGCUAACCGCUGGUUUAUUCGGAUCAGUGGCCAAGCGAAAGCGAUAAGCCAUCCACCUGGGGAGUACGACCGCAAGGUUGAAACUCAAAGGAAUUGACGGGG